rnacentral:rRNA from 1 species
UGAGAGGCAUCUCUUGAAUAUCAAAGGUGAGCCAGUACAGGAUGGACCCGCGUCUGAUUAGCUAGUUGGUAAGGUAACGGCUUACCAAGGCGACGAUCAGGAGCCGACCUGAGAGGGUGAUCGGCCACAUUGGAACUGAGACACGGUCCAAACUCCUACGGGAGGCAGCAGUGGGGAAUAUUGCACAAUGGGCGAAAGCCUGAUGCAGCAACGCCGCGUGAGUGAUGAAGGCCUUCGGGUCGUAAAACUCUGUC